rnacentral:rRNA from 1 species
GGGGAAUUUUGGACAAUGGGCGCAAGCCUGAUCCAGCCAUUCCGCGUGCAGGAUGAAGGCCUUCGGGUUGUAAACUGCUUUUGUACGGAACGAAACGGUUCUCUCUAAUACAGGGGGCUAAUGACGGUACCGUAAGAAUAAGCACCGGCUAACUACGUGCCAGCAGCCGCGGUAAUACGUAGGGUGCAAGCGUUAAUCGGAAUUACUGGGCGUAAAGCGUGCGCAGGCGGUUUUGUAAGACAGAGGUGAAAUCCCCGGGCUCAACCUGGGAACUGCCUUUGUGACUGCAAGGCUGGAGUACGGCAGAGGGGGAUGGAAUUCCGCGUGUAGCAGUGAAAUGCGUAGAUAUGCGGAGGAACACCGAUGGCGAAGGCAAUCCCCUGGGCCUGUACUGACGCUCAUGCACGAAAGCGUGGGGAGCAAAC